UACGUAGGGACCGAGCGUUGUCCGGAAUCAUUGGGCGUAAAGAGCGUGUAGGCGGCCUGUUAAGUCUUGCGUGAAAUCUCGGGGCUCAACCCCGAGCGGUCGUGAGAAACUGGCAGGCUAGAGUGCGGGAGAGGAGAGUGGAAUUCCUGGUGUAGCGGUGAAAUGCGCAGAUAUCAGGAAGAACACCCGUGGCGAAGGCGGCGAGCUGGUCCAUUACUGACGCUGAGGCGCGACAGCGUGGGGGAGCAAACAGG
rnacentral:rRNA from 1 species